rnacentral:rRNA from 1 species
UUAAUUCGAAGCAACGCGAAGAACCUUACCAAAUCUUGACAUCCUUUGAAAACUCUAGAGAUAGAGCCUUCCCCUUCGGGGGACAAAGUGACAGGUGGUGCAUGGUUGUCGUCAGCUCGUGUCGUGAGAUGUUGGGUUAAGUCCCGCAACGAGCGCAACCCUUAAGCUUAGUUGCCAUCAUUAAGUUGGGCACUCUAGGUUGACUGCCGGUGACAAACCGGAGGAAGGUGGGGAUGACGUCAAAUCAUCAUGCCCCUUAUGAUUUGGGCUACACACGUGCUACAAUGGACAAUACAAAGGGCAGCUAAACCGCGAGGUCAUGCAAAUCCCAUAAAGUUGUUCUCAGUUCGGAUUGUAGUCUGCAACUCGACUACAUGAAGCUGGAAUCGCUAGUAAUCGUAGAUCAGCAUGCUACGGUGAAUACGUUCCCGGGUCUUGUACACACCGCCCGUCACACCACGAGAGUUUGUAACACCCGAAGCCGGUGGAGUAACCAUUUUAUGGAGCUAGC